GUAAUGAGAAAAAUGUCAAAUGCCUCUGGUAACACCAUGCCUUUUAAACUUCACAGUUAAAUGUAGCUAUCUCUGUGUCUUAAUGUACAAGGUCUUUCAGUAUGAGCCUACAUAAUUUCUGUGCACAUGUUGCAUUAACAGUCAUUUAUCAUCCAAUACUUUGUAUUUGAUGCAUGCAGUGGCUGUAAAUCAAGAAGAAAUUAGAAAUUUCUUUGUUUUUACAUUUAAGCUACUGAGUAGUUUUUGCUGCAGUCAUUCACAUGUCAGAUUGUAGUGGCUCAAUUAAAAUGUCUUUAUCAAUUAUAUUUACUCAAAAGCUGUUUCUUACCAUAAAAUAUGCAAUAUACUAUCUCUUAUCAGGCGUUUUCUUAAUUUUUAUUUAUUCAUUUAUUCACUUUGAGAUAUUUUUUUAAUUCAUUCAUUUAUUUUGGUUUUUUGAGACAUGGUUUCUCUUUGUAGCCCUGGCUGUCCUAGAACUCACUCUGUAGACCAAGCUGGCCUCAAACUCAGAGAUUCCCCAUGCCUCCGCCUCCACUUCCUCAGUGCUGGAAUUAAAAGUUUUGUUUUUGUUUUUGUUUUUUUCUUAAUGAAAAAUUUUCCAAAUUUGUUCUUAGUCUCUGGUGAUUCUUAGCACAGACUGUCACUUUUUUUUUUCCUUGUUUUUUUUUGGGGGGACAGGGUUUCUCUGUGUAGCCCUGGCUGUCCUGGAACUCACUUUGUAGACCAGGCUGGCCUCGAACUCAGAAAUCCGCCUGCCUCUGCCUCCGGAGUGCUGGGUUUAAAGGCGUGCGCCACCACUGCCCGGUGUAAGAAUGCAUUUUAAAACAGAAUAGUAAGUGUGUGUUCUAGUGUAGUUAUCUUGGAGCUCUGGAUGUCUGUUGUUAACAAGAAGCUUUUACUCUAAACACUGAACAUUCUGUAUGUCACUUCCCAAUGUUUGUGUCAUCUCUUGGUUGUAGUAAGAUUCAAACCUCUGUAUUUCAUCAUGGAUUAAGGAGCAUGUUGCCCACUUGUUGGGUAAACCUGCAGAGUCGCAUCUUCAGUCCUAGUGUUUGUGUGGUCCUAUCACUGGUGUUGUUCCCUUCUGAACCCCAGUAUUAAGGGUCUGUACCAAGGAAUCAAGGCCAUUGCUAUAAAAAGAAUGGCCUGGGAAAUUGAACAUAGAGUCCAGAGCUACCUAGCUUUGGAGAAUCAAAGUCCUAAGGUGUGGGUCUAGCUGAAAAGUACAUUUAAUCAGGUCUACUAAUUGGAUUGCUAUGAACUAAUAGUUUUUAAUUACUUGGGUUAUAGUAGAUACGUACAGUCUGACUAUAAUCAUGUUUUCUAGACUAUUUCUACAUAUUUAGUUUUUUCACUUUCUGUGUAAACCUAUCAGUGUCUUCAUCUGAACUCUUCACAUGGGUGGACAUCAGCCUCAGCAAUAUCAAUCCGGCAGGGACUUGAGUGUCAUCCUUCACUCAUUGUGUGUGUGUGUGUGUGUGUGUGUGUGCGAGUUUCCACAAUACCAAAUGUAUAUUAAUAUCAGUAAGUACUUGUAACAUGAAUAAACAUGUUAUGUUUAUCCUUGAAAUGUUUUUAAAAUCUAUGUUUUUGCUUUAAAAUUGCUUCUCCAUUAUCAUCUUUUAAACUCUAUAUUAAAUCCUGAGUCAAAAAACUUAAAUCUACAAUUGUACAAAUCUACAAGUUCUUGAUAGCCUUUUGGGAAUAGAGAUAGAGCUCAAAUAUAGCUUGUAAAGCACUUGCUCGGCAUGUAUGAAGGCUGAGUUUAUUCCUAGCACCUAUUACUCUGAACAUAACAUGGUAACACAUACUUGUAAUCUCAACAUUGUGAGAUAUAAACAGGGUGAUCAGAAGCUUGGUGUUAUCCUCAACGAUAUAACAAACUUGGGGCUAACCUUGGCUACCUGGUGCCCAAUCU
rnacentral:lncRNA from 1 species